rnacentral:misc_RNA from 1 species
AUGGCAGUGAGCCUAGAGAGUUCACAGGUAUGCAGUAAGCAAUUGAACAUUCAAAGGAAAAUAAAUUUGUAAAAAGGCAGAAAUAUUUUUACAAGCAGUAAGUAAACACCAUGGAGGAAAAAAAAAAGGCUGACUUGUGAUUGUCAAGUCCCUUUUAACAAAUCUCUUCCAAACAUUCAGUGGUCCCCAUCCUUUUUUUUUCUCUGACAAUUCACAAGAUCUCUCAAAAUUGCUGCUGCCUUUCUCUCUCUUCUCUCAUCAACAUUGAAGCUUUUGGCCUUCUUCCAACUUUUUUUUUCUCCACACUCUGAACAUUGUAUCAUUCCACUAUAGUGAAAGUCCUUUGAAACGAUAUCUCCCCACAAGUUUGGACCUUUUGAGUAAUCCACAUUCAGAAUGUGUGUGCUUUUGUUAUAAGCACACAUAACUUUUUUGUGUAUAUAAAUAACAGAUCCAGUCAAUGAGUUUCACUAUAAUCGCUUAAUCCCAUGGCUGAAGCAGAUAUGUUACCGAACUUGGCUAGCUCAUUUUUCGAUAGAAAAGGCCUACUUUCGUUCCCUCCUACCCCAAGAAAAUCUCUUGUUAAACCUCCUUCCAUUGCUUCAUUUCCACUCAGAUUAACUUGUUUUCCUUUGUUGUUACGCGGCAUCAAAUUGAAAGGAUCUGAGUUCUUUCCACUUGCAUUACCUUCUAAUGAAGUGGAAUUCAUAUCCCCGAACAACAGCCUAUUUCCUUGAUUACUAUUAUUAUUAUUCGGAGAGUGCAUCAUUAAACCGUUAAAAUUCUGAUCAUGAGUAGCAAAUUGUCCUUGUCCAUUGCUUUUAGAAAAAGACGAGCCCAUUAGCCCGAAUCCAGUACCAAAGAGGGCUGAAUUGCUCCUCGUUGAUCCCAUUUGGGCUGCUUUUUGUAAAAGUGCAGUAGCCGACAUAUGAGUAGCUGGUGCUGUUGUUUCGUUGUGAUGAUUGUUGUAGUACAUUGAACUUAUUGUCUCCGACAUAUUUCUUUUGUUCUCUUCCUCCUCCUUUAGCAAUACUCGUGAAGGAAGUUGAGACGAGGAUGAGCCAAUUCCAGAAUCAUCACCAACACCAGUACCAUUAAUGAACCAUUGUUGAGUAUUGUUAUGUGCGGCGAUUUGGACCAAUUCAUGAUGAGGCAAAUUGCUAGUAGUAGAGCUUGACGAUGCUACUAAGAAAUCAUUACCUGGAUUCGGGUUCAUAUUAUUGUCCAACCAAAGUGGUAUCCUUGGUUUUUGUCCAUCCACAUUAUUGAGCUGUGGUUGAUGAUGAUGACUAAUUGCAGGGUCCAAUCCAAGUCCCAUAAAUUCAGGCCUAAACAAAUUAGAACCAAAUUGGGGAUUUCCAGUACUUUGCUGAAGAUUAGUAUUGCCAAAUCCCCCAUUCAGCAAAAUUUCAUUUCUGAAAUUCAGAUUUGCUGUACUUGGAACUGAUGUAAAUCUUGCACUUUCUUCUGCUAACGCAUCACAAAAUGCUCGAUGUGUUAUAAAGCUGUCCUUUCUGGAGAAUAGAGUUCCACAGUCACAUUUAUA